rnacentral:rRNA from 1 species
AAUGAACGCUGGCGGCAGGCCUAAUACAUGCAAGUCGAACGCCCCUUCGGGGGAGUGGCAGACGGGUGAGUAACGCGUGGGAACCUACCCAGGGGUUCGGAAUAACUCGGGGAAACUUGAGCUAAUACCGGAUACGCCUUGCGAGGGAAAGAUUUAUCGCCCCUGGAUGGGCCCGCGUCGGAUUAGUUUGUUGGUAGGGUAAAAGCCUACCAAGGCUACGAUCCGUAGCUGGUCUGAGAGGAUGAUCAGCCACACUGGGACUGAGACACGGCCCAG